GCACGUGGGAGACUCCCCAAACAUAUGGAAGAAGGUACUGUGGGAGACUCCCCAAACAUAUGGAAGAAGGUACUGUGGGAGACUCCCCAAACAUAUGGAAGAAGGUACUGUGGGAGACUCCCCAAACAUAUGGAAGAAGGUACUGUGGGAGACUCCCCAAACAUAUGGAAGAAGGUACUGUGGGAGACUCCCCAAACAUAUGGAAGAAGGUACUGUGGGAGACUCCCCAAACAUAUGGAAGAAGGUACUGUGGGAGACUCCCCAAACAUAUGGAAGAAGGUACUGUGGGAGACUCCCCAAACAUAUGGAAGAAGGUACUGUGGGAGACUCCCCAAACAUAUGGAAGAAGGUACUGUGGGAGACUCCCCAAACAUAUGGAAGAAGGUACUGUGGGAGACUCCCCAAACAUAUGGAAGAAGGUACUCUGGUCAGAUGAG